UACGGGGGGGGGCAAGCGUUGUUCGGAAUUACUGGGCGUAAAGGGCUCGUAGGUGGCCAACUAAGUCAGACGUGAAAUCCCCAGGCUCAACUUGGGAACUGCGUCUGAUACUGGAUGGCUUGAAUUCGGGAGAGGGAUGCAGAAUUCCAGGUGUAGCGGUGAAAUGCGUAGAUAUCUGGAGGAAUACCGGUGGCGAAGGCGGCAUCCUGGACCGAGAUUGACACUGAUGAGC
rnacentral:rRNA from 1 species